GGAUGUGAGGGUGAUCUGGCUGGGAUGUCUGUCACCCCACUGAUCACCAAUUGCCUUGGCCGACAGGGCUGGCUGGACAGUGUCCCCUUCCUUUCUCUGUGCUCCAUAUGAGCACUGCACUUGGUAAAAGAGGAUGACCACCAAGAUAUGAGAAGCAUUGCGUUCAUUGAAGAUAUACCAGUAGCUGUGCUGCUCUGCUAGAACCUCCAAACAAGCUCUUUUGCUUUUUUAUUUGGAGACAGGGCCUCACUAAGUCACUGAAUUGCCUAGGCUAGAUUUGAACUUGUCAUCCUCCUGCCU
rnacentral:snRNA from 1 species